rnacentral:rRNA from 1 species
UACAGAGGGGGCAAGCGUUGUUCGGAAUUACUGGGCGUAAAGGGCGCGUAGGCGGCCCGCUAAGUCGAACGUGAAAUCCCCAGGCUUAACCUGGGAACUGCGUCCGAUACUGGCAGGCUUGAAUCCGGGAGAGGGAUGUGGAAUUCCAGGUGUAGCGGUGAAAUGCGUAGAUAUCUGGAGGAACACCGGUGGCGAAGGCGGCAUCCUGGACCGAGAUUGACGCUGAGGCGCGAAAGCCAGGGGAGCAAACGGG